GGUGGGCGUAGCUCAGGUGGUAGAGCGCUCGGUUGUCGUCCGAGGGGUACUGGGAUCGAUACCCAGCGCCUCCA